AAACUAGAGAUGAAAUUCUACAGGUCUUUGAAAUGCUUUACAUUUGAGAAUGAAGCUCAGCUGAAGUUUGAACAGCAUACUGACAUAUACCAACAAGAAUGAAAAUAACUUAACAGCAAUUUUAUAAAUUCACAUCCCCCAGAGCACCACAGAGUAAAGAAAUACUGCAUAUGGGUAACAACUGGUUCUUAGUUACUAAAUCUGAAAGAUCAAAUAAAGUUAAUUACAUAAGCUGCUCUUGAGUUUUUCUGGGGGAAUAUACCAGGAGACCAUAAUCAAGGUACCAGUUUAUUGAUGGCUGUUCUUAAUAAAUACAACUCUUCAAGAAAAUAAGAUCCUCUAUACACUGUUGAUGUAUAGCCACGAGAAAAAAAAAAGAAAAAUUUUUGCUCUCAAUGAGCUUGCAUUUAAGCAUCUAUAAAAGGUGAGAUUAAUAUUUACUCAGUGAACUUUGAAUAAAGCAUUGGGUGCUUCAUUAGGUGGAUGAGUCUCAUCCAAUCAGUUGAAGGUGACUGAAUAGAACCAUAGAUCGACCUCACAUAAAUGAGAGGGAAUUCUGCAACAGAUCAUCUUUGCCUUUGAACUGCAGCGUGGACUCCCCUCUGUGUCUCCUGCCUGCCAGCCCACCCUGCAGAGUUUGCAUUUGCCAGCCUCCACAAUCAGGUAAUUUAUCCUGUGCAUUAGCAAGAGGAAGUCUAGAGCCAUGGAAACCAAGUCAGGAAACUUCUCUCUUAUUAUUAGGUCAACAGCAAAUCUAGUUGAGACUGCAAAUCGAGGUUUUUCUCAGGGGAAGCCGAGCUCCAGACUAUUCAUUUGUCCUGAGGCAGCCACCGGAAACACAAUCAUUUUGUAUUUCUACGAUGUUUUGACCUUUUAUCCAAGUCAGCCCUAUAGAAUGGGCCAGGAGGUUGCUGCCACUGAAUAAGCCACUGUGAUUUUUAGCGUCAAGAAUUUUGCUGUUAACUAUGGCAGAAAAAUAGACAGAGGACAAUAAAAAUAACUAACAUAGA